rnacentral:lncRNA from 1 species
CCGUGCCGAGCGCACAUCUCCUGAUAGCUCCUACUCUGGGCAAGGAGCUGACUCGGCAGUGGACAAAUUGAGGCAACCAAAUAAUAAACACAAAUGGAUAGUCAACACAUUUUUUGAAAGAACAUCUGAAAGACAAAAUGGGGAAUGGCGAGUCUGUCUAAUAAACCAUUUUGAGAAAACUGGAUAUUCAUAUAAAGAAGUAUAAAGAGGACUGUUAUGUUGCACAAUACACAAAAAUCAACUCAAAAUAAAUUAAUGACCUAAACUUAAUAUCAGAAAUGAUGAAACUUUUAAAAGAAAACAUAGGGUGAAUGUAUGUUUAGGGAAACUCAAAUUUAUGUUCACAGGUUGCAAAAAGAAAAAUAUGAGAAAAACAUAGAGGAAAAUGAUUCUGCCAAUAAACACUCAAGAUGUGGAAUCAACCUACCUGUCCAGGAACAGAUGAAGAGAUAAAGAAAAUGCAGUGUGUAUACACAGUGGAAUGCUCUUCACCAUAAAAAAUUCACGGAAUCAUGUCAUUGCAGCAACAUGGUGGACAAUGUAAGAAAAGCUCCCCGGAGAAGCUGUACAGAAGCUGCCUCCUCAGCAGUCAGGGCCAGGUACCGGAGCUGUUUUUACCCCAGGACAGGGCCGGCCCCAAGUCAUCCCAGAGCUGCCAUGGCACCCCCUCAGUCGGGUCCUGAGGAAUCCUACACAAGCUACUUAUAUCAGUGAUCACUAGGAUAAUCCAUAGAACUUUUGGGAAAGAAGUUUAAGACCUUUCUCCCACCAUUUCAGCAGGAUAAAUUCCAACUGGAUUAGAAAAUGAAAUGUUAAUA